UACGUAGGGUGCGAGCGUUAAUCGGAAUACUGGGCGUAAAGCGUGCGCAGGCGGUGAUGUAAGACCGAUGUGAAAUCCCCGGGCUUAACCUGGGAACUGCAUUGGUGACUGCAUCGCUCGAGUAUGGCAGAGGGGGGUAGAAUUCCACGUGUAGCAGUGAAAUGCGUAGAGAUGUGGAGGAAUACCGAUGGCGAAGGCAGCCCCCUGGGUCAAUACUGACGCUCAUGCACGAAAGCGUGGGGAGCAAACAGG
rnacentral:rRNA from 1 species